rnacentral:rRNA from 1 species
UACGUAGGGCGCAAGCGUUGUCCGGAAUUAUUGGGCGUAAAGAGCUCGUAGGCGGCCUGUUGCGUCCGCUGUGAAAUCCCGGGGCUCAACCCCGGGCCUGCAGUGGAUACGGGCUGGCUAGAGGCAGGCAGGGGAGAACGGAAUUCCUGGUGUAGCGGUGGAAUGCGCAGAUAUCAGGAGGAACACCGAUGGCGAAGGCAGGUCUCUGGGCCAUUACUGACACUGAGAAGCGAAAGCAUGGGGAGCGAACAGG